GACGAACGCUGGCGGCGUGCUUAACACAUGCAAGUCGAGCGGAAAGGCCACUUCGGUGGUACUCGAGCGGCGAACGGGUGAGUAACACGUGAGUAAUCUGCCCCUGGCUUUGGGAUAGCCACCGGAAACGGUGAUUAAUACCGGAUACGACAACUUCUCGCAUGGGAUGGUUGUGGAAAGUUUUUCGGCCAGGGAUGUGCUCGCGGCCAAUCAGCUUGAUGGUGAGGUAAUGGCUCACCAUGGCUUCGACGGGUAGCCGGCCUGAGAGGGUGACCGGUCACACUGGGACUGAGACACGGCCCAGACUCCUACGGGAGGCAGCAGUGGGGAAUAUUGGACAAUGGGCGGAAGCCUGAUCCAGCAACGCCGCGUGAGGGAUGACGGCCUUCGGGUUGUAAACCUCUUUCGCCUGUGGCGAAGCGCAAGUGACGGUAACAGGUAAAGAAGCACCGGCCAACUACGUGCCAGCAGCCGCCGUAACAC
rnacentral:rRNA from 1 species